UACGUAGGUGGCAAGCGUUGUCCGGAUUUACUGGGCGUAAAGAGCGCGCAGGCGGUCGUGCAAGUCGCGUGUGAAAGCCCCCGGCUCAACUGGGGAGGGUCACGCGAUACUGCUCGACUCGAAGGCAGGAGAGGGAAGUGGAAUUCCCGGUGUAGUGGUGAAAUGCGUAGAUAUCGGGAGAACACCAGUGGCGAAGGCGACUUCCUGGCCUGUUCUUGACGCUGAGGCGCGAAAGCUAGGGUAGCAAACGGGG
rnacentral:rRNA from 1 species